UACGUAGGUGCAAGCGUUGUCCGGAAUUAUUUGGGCGUAAAGAGCUCGUAGGCGGCCUGUCGCGUCGGCUGUGGAAAAACUCGGGGGCCUCAACCCCCGAGCCCUGCAGUCGGAUACGGGCAGACUAGAGUGCUGUAGGGGGAGACUGGAAUUCCUGGUGUAAGCGGUGAAAUGCGCAGAUAUCAGGAGGAACACCGGUGGCGAAGGCGGGUCUCUGGGCAGUAACUGACGCUGAAGGAGCGAAAAGCGUGGGGGAGCGAAACAGG
rnacentral:rRNA from 1 species